GUUCGAGCGUCAUUACAACCCUCAAGCUCUGCUUGGUAUUAAGCCUCACCUGUAAAGGGCGGGCUAUAAAAUCAGUGGCGGUGCAUCUGGCUUCAAGCGUAGUAAAUUUUCUCGCUUUGGAGACCUGCUGUGUGCCUGCUAAACCCCAAUUUUAUCAAAAGGUUGACCUCGGAUCAGGUAGGGAUACCCGCUGAACUUAA
rnacentral:misc_RNA from 1 species